UGCCAGCCGCCGCGGUAAUACGGAGGGUCCAAGCGUUAUCCGGAAUCAUUGGGUUUAAAGGGUGCGUAGGCGGAAAUAUAAGCCAGUGGUGAAAUCCCGCAGCUCAACUGUGGAACUGCCAUUGGAACUGUAUUUCUUGAAUAUGAUCGGGGUCGGCGGAAUGUGUCAUGUAGCGGUGAAAUGCAUAGAUAUGACACAGAACACCGAUAGCGAAGGCAGCUGACCAGAUCAUCAUUGACGCUGAGGCACGAAAGCGUGGGGAGCGAACGGGAUUAGAUA
rnacentral:rRNA from 1 species